AGUGAACGCUGGCGGUAGGCCUAACACAUGCAAGUCGAACGGCAGCACAGGAGAGCUUGCUCUCUGGGUGGCGAGUGGCGGACGGGUGAGGAAUACAUCGGAAUCUACUCUGUCGUGGGGGAUAACGUAGGGAAACUUACGCUAAUACCGCAUACGACCUACGGGUGAAAGCAGGGGAUCUUCGGACCUUGCGCGAUUGAAUGAGCCGAUGUCGGAUUAGCUAGUUGGCGGGGUAAAGGCCCACCAAGGCGACGAUCCGUAGCUGGUCUGAGAGGAUGAUCAGCCACACUGGAACUGAGACACGGGCCAGACUCCUACGGGAGGCAGCAGUGGGGAAUAUUGGACAAUGGGCGCAAGCCUGAUCCAGCCAUGCCGCGUGGGUGAAGAAGGCCUUCGGGUUGUAAAGCCCUUUUGUUGGGAAAGAAAUCCAGCUGGCUAAUACCCGGUUGGGAUGACGGUACCCAAAGAAUAAGCACCGGCUAACUUCGUGCCAGCAGCCGCCGUAA
rnacentral:rRNA from 1 species